rnacentral:snRNA from 1 species
AGCUUUGCGCAGUGGCAGUAUCGUAGCCAAUGAGGUUUAUCCGAGGCGCGAUUAUUGCUAAUUGAAAACUUUUCCCAAAAAAAAUAAACUUUUUUCCAAAAUACAUAGAAUUCAAGCUGAAAAGUAAG